rnacentral:hammerhead_ribozyme from 1 species
AUCCAUCUGAUGAGUCUUGAACACGACGAAACAUGAGUCAUGGAU